rnacentral:misc_RNA from 1 species
GAUGAAGAACGCAGCGAAAUGCGAUACGUAAUGUGAAUUGCAGAAUUCAGUGAAUCAUCGAGUCUUUGAACGCACAUUGCGCCCCCUGGUAUUCCGGGGGGCAUGCCUGUUCGAGCGUCAUUUCACCACUCAAGCCUCGCUUGGUAUUGGGCAACGCGGUCCGCCGCGUGCCUCAAAUCGACCGGCUGGGUCUUCUGUCCCCUAAGCGUUGUGGAAACUAUUCGCUAAAGGGUGUUCGGGAGGCUACGCCGUAAAACAACCCCAUUUCUAAGGUUGACCUCGGAUCAGGUAGGGAUACCCGCUGAACUUAAGCAUAUCAAUAAGCGGAGA